GGUGUCCCAGGAUGGUGUGCUCCGUUGGCAUCGACCAGUGCCGGUUCCUGUUCCAGACGACCCCGUUCCAUGGCACGCCGGCAUUCCAUGUGCUGGAAGGCGUCUCCAUCCCUUCCCCAGGGCCCCGUGGCGUUGAAAUUUUUACAGUGCCAAACGCCUAGUGCUCCUCCUCGCGCUCGUGGCAUGCUCGCUGUGGCGCGCACGGUCUGGACUGGAAGAGGAGGCCCAGGUAUGCCUUCGUUCUGUCGCUCUCGCAGGAAUGCAUGCCUGUCCCCUCCUCCUGUCCUGUCCUGUGCAUUCCUCUAGCUGUUGCCGAUGAAUAUGCAUCCCAUGCAAUGUUCUGGUGUCCUCUCCUGUUCGUUGCUGUGUUGCCAAUCAAUCUUCAUGCUGUGUCAUGUGCCCUGGAUGAUCAGGCACUGACUGAAGCACAGUUCUCGCGUUGGCUGAGGGUUCGGACGUGUCGUUGCGCCGGAUAGAGGUGGUGGUUUGCUUGUACAGAGCAUCCAUUGAAACCAUGGAUGUUAUGUGUCCAUACGUGAUUCAGUUUACUGCAAGGAGAGGAGUUAAUGAUUGGUCCGGGUGACGCUGUCCUCGUGCGAAUGUCGGGAUAGGACUGUCGUAAUUUCUUUUCGAUGUACUAACAGUUUGGGAACUAACUACAGGGGACCUGAAACAUCGAGCUGGCGUUAUCACCAAUCUGGCUGGGAACACAUGGUUAUGGAUGACAGUGUGUGAUGUUCCUGGCAUGCAGGAGCCCAGUGGUCCCUUCUUAUCCGAAAUAGAUGCAGAUUGGGUAAAACUAUUGUUUCAUGUGAUCAUAUCUUAUGAAACAACAAUAGCUUGUGUAGUCAAGAAAAGGAACAUGGUCAAGAUUGAUAUAAGAGUACAACUGAUUUUCAGUUGCUUGGUUUGUCUAGUGUCAAAGUCAGCCGGAAAUAGUGUUCUGGGAAUUCUUCUAUAGGAUUCAGUCUUCAGCAAAAUAUAAAGGGUUGCAUUUACUAGUAGUUAAGCUUCCUUAUAGUCGUAUUCAGUUUAUACUACUGAAAGGCAGCUACCUACGUAGUUUCCAUUGCCCAAUUUGCGUCUUCUUUGCAGCCUUACGGCCUAUGACCUCGUCAAUAAAGUCCCUGAACCUGAAGAUGGAUCUUUCGAUGUCCAAAACCAUGACUUGUAGCUCACCUUCACAGCUCCCCCAAUCUUUCAUGUCAUACAAUCAAUCCUCAGCCAACAGCAUGUUUUCGUCCUCAUCCUCUCCUGCUCAUUCUGCUGCUGUGCUCUCGGACAGGAGUGAGCCUGUCAACAUCUCAGCACAACUCCUUGAAAAGUCUCCAUGCAAUGUCUUGGUGUCCUCUACUGUUCGUUGCUCUGUUUCCAAACAAUCUUUAUGCUGUGUCAUGUGUCCUGGGUGAUCUGGCACUGACUGUAGUACAGUUCUCUCGUUGAGUGGGAGUUCAAACGUUUUGUUCCGCUGAGUAGAGGUGGUGCUUUGCCUUGUACAGAGCCUCCAUUGCAACCUAUGGAUGCUAUAUUCAUAUAUGAAGUUUACUGCGAGGAGUAGAGUUAAUGAUUUGUUUCUGUGAUGCUGUCCUCGUGCGAAUGUCGGGCUAGGAGGACUGUUGUAGAAUUUCUUUUCAAUAUACAAACAGUUCGGGAACUAACUACAGGGGGCUGAAACAUAGAUUUGGCGUUAUCACCAAUCUGCCUGGGAACAUAUUGUUAUCAAUAACAGUGUACGAUGUUCCUAACAUGCAGGUGCCAAAUGGUCCCUUCUUAUCUAAAAUUGAUGCAGACCAGGUAAAACUAUUGCUUCAUGUGAUUAUAUCAUAUGAAACAAAAAAUAGCUUCUGUAGUCAAGAAAAGGAACAUGCUCUGCUCAAAGUAACAUCUAAGAGAAGAUAGUUGAUUUUCAGCCGUUUGCUUUGUGUAGUGUCAAUGUUAGCCGAGACUAGUGUUCAGGGAAUAAUUAUAUUUCUUCUAUAUAAUUCAGUCUUCAGCAAAAUACAGAGGGUUACAUUUACUAGCGGCUAAGUUUCCUAAGGGAAACAACUAUUGCCAAUCAUGUUCAGUUUAUACUAC